UAAAAUAAGAUUAGUAUAGCUUGUAUUUUAUAGAGGAAAAACUGAAGCUCUUUGAGCUUGGGUGACUUGUUGACGGCCAUGCAGGCAGCAAGCGGUGGAAUUCCACUGCAUCACACCAACUCCUGGAUCUCCAAGUCACAGUCUCUAUCCUCAGGAAGCUUAGAUGAGACUUGAGAUAACCACACCUUAUAGACAGAUGCAAAUGUGCAGCAAGAAUUUCCUAAGUCCUAUCUGUCUUCCCCACUCCCAUCGCCACGACUGCCUGGGAUUGAAGCUCCUCAUCUUGCUGUUGGUGGAAUGGAAUAAUCAGACUUACAGAAAAACAUGCAGAAAAAGUGAGGAGCCAGAAGCCCAGUGUUGUGGUUCACACUGCCUUGAAGUCUUGCCCUUUGUCCUCUUCUUCCUGAACAGAUCUGUCUUCCUGGGGCAGGACUUGCAUUCCUCACACCAUCCUUUCUGAAGGUGCUGAGGUAAACCUGGUCGAGCCGGUUAGCUCUGGGGUGGAGCCCGGUGAUGGCCUGAUUCAGAGCCUCUGUUACCUGGGGCAGCCAGAAGCGAAUGAGAGGACAGCUGUAAAUCAUCUCUGGCCUGCUGAUGACAUUCUCCUCUCCCAGCUGAAGGACUGAGGUUGUUCCAGGCCUUUGAGUGACUCUGGGCAGGGCUGGGAGAGGACACCUCUCAGCCAGUGCUUGGGGAGGAGGAAUUCAGAUCCUGGGAAAGACAGCAAGCAGCAGCAGGUGUGGAGUAAGCAGGGAGUGACCGUCUGGGACAAUUGCCUAGAAUAAACACUAUUGUCUGCCACAGGCUUUUCUGUGCCAGCCUGGGCCUGCUGAGCUGACCGUGUUUGAAGGGCCAGUUGUGGGCUAAGCUAGGCAAGCUGAGAUCAGUCCUGCAGGAACCUGAGGUCAUCACAGGAUGUGAAGACAGAGGCCAGGAGCUUGUGCGACCAGGAAUGAGUGAGGAGAUGGAAAGUCUCAAGGGAGAGAAGACUGAGGAGGAAGGCUGGAACGAGGCUGGGUGACAUUCAUUCAUACCAAAGGCUAACUUCUGGUGUCAUCUUGGAUGGUCCAAUUUAAAAGAAACCACAGAGCCUCUCUCUGGACAUCUAAGGCUGGCUUCAGUUACACCCACUGUCUUCUCGGAUCCUGGAAUGCAUAUGUUCCUGCGGCCACUCCUGCUCUGUCUGUCCCUGUGACCCUCCAAUUUUACCCACCUCCUGGUGCUAUUCUUCUCUAUCACAGGAAACUUGCAUCCUUCUAUUAUUAUCUUCACUGCUCAGAAACCCAAACUGUGAAGACACAAAGAUGUAACCACAUGAAAAUCCACACUUGACCCUAAUUUUACCCACAGUGAUGUAAUUCACCUUGUCCUCAGGGACAGGGAGAAUUUACCACCUCAUUCUUUCCUCUCCCUUUAGACACUGAGCAUUAGGAAAUUGUUAUCUGGAGGAAAGGCCCAUUGAGGAGGGUACUCCGGUGACCCAAAAACAGCCCUGGAGGAAGCCUGCCAUCCAGAGCAGGCUACGACCCACUGAUGGGUGUCCUAGGACACUGGCCCUGCUCCACUCCCCUCCCUGGGACCUCUGUGAGUUGCAGCUUUCAUUUGACUAUUAUAGAUGAACGAAGGACAAGAACUAAAUAGAGCCAAGAAAAAGGAAGUGGAAGGAAGAAUCAUGGCUGAAGCAGUGGAGUAUAUUUCCUUUUACUUAUUUCCCAGGCAAAAAACAACUGAUACAAGUCUCCAUGAUUGCCUUUUGUUCAUGUAUUAGGAAAUCUGUAUUACUUGCUCUGCUGUCCUGGUGUUUCAGGUUUUUAUUUGUAUUUCUUCAUGUAAUGUCAAUAAAACAUCA